rnacentral:tRNA from 1 species
GACGAGUAGCUCAACUGGAUAGAGCACCGUCCUGCUAAGACGGAGGUUGGAGAUUCAAAUUCUUCCUCUGGUUCCCA